GUACACAAAAAUGCACAUGCUGUGAGCUCGAUGAGUAGGGCGGGACACGUGGUAUCCUGUCUGAAUAUGGGGGGACCAUCCUCCAAGGCUAAAUACUCCUGACUGACCGAUAGUGAACCAGUACCGUGAGGGAAAGGCGAAAAGAACCCCGGCGAGGGGAGUGAAAAAGAACCUGAAACCGUGUACGUACAAGCAGUGGGAGCACGCUUAGGCGUGUGACUGCGUACCUUUUGUAUAAUGGGUCAGCGACUUAUAUUCUGUAGCAAGGUUAACCGAAUAGGGGAGCCGAAGGGAAACCGAGUCUUAACUGGGCGUUAAGUUGCAGGGUAUAGACCCGAAACCCGGUGAUCUAGCCAUGGGCAGGUUGAAGGUUGGGUAACACUAACUGGAGGACCGAACCGACUAAUGUUGAAAAAUUAGCGGAUGACUUGUGGCUGGGGGUGAAAGGCCAAUCAAACCGGGAGAUAGCUGGUUCUCCCCGAAAGCUAUUUAGGUAGCGCCUCGUGAAUUCAUCUCCGGGGGUAGAGCACUGUUUCGGCAAGGGGGUCAUCCCGACUUACCAACCCGAUGCAAACUGCGAAUACCGGAGAAUGUUAUCACGGGAGACACACGGCGGGUGCUAACGUCCGUCGUGAAGAGGGAAACAACCCAGACCGCCAGCUAAGGUCCCAAAGUCAUGGUUAAGUGGGAAACGAUGUGGGAAGGCCCAGACAGCCAGGAUGUUGGCUUAGAAGCAGCCAUCAUUUAAAGAAAGCGUAAUAGCUCACUGGUCGAGUCGGCCUGCGCGGAAGAUGUAACGGGGCUAAACCAUGCACCGAAGCUGCGGCAGCGACGCUGAUGCGUUGUUGGGUAGGGGAGCGUUCUGUAAGCCUGCGAAGGUGUGCUGUGAGGCAUGCUGGAGGUAUCAGAAGUGCGAAUGCUGACAUAAGUAACGAUAAAGCGGGUGAAAAGCCCGCUCGCCGGAAGACCAAGGGUUCCUGUCCAACGUUAAUCGGGGCAGGGUGAGUCGACCCCUAAGGCGAGGCCGAAAGGCGUAGUCGAUGGGAAACAGGUUAAUAUUCCUGUACUUGGUGUUACUGCGAAGGGGGGACGGAGAAGGCUAUGUUGGCCGGGCGACGGUUGUCCCGGUUUAAGCGUGUAGGCUGGUUUUCCAGGCAAAUCCGGAAAAUCAAGGCUGAGGCGUGAUGACGAGGCACUACGGUGCUGAAGCAACAAAUGCCCUGCUUCCAGGAAAAGCCUCUAAGCAUCAGGUAACAUCAAAUCGUACCCCAAACCGACACAGGUGGUCAGGUAGAGAAUACCAAGGCGCUUGAGAGAACUCGGGUGAAGGAACUAGGCAAAAUGGUGCCGUAACUUCGGGAGAAGGCACGCUGAUAUGUAGGUGAAGUCCCUCGCGGAUGGAGCUGAAAUCAGUCGAAGAUACCAGCUGGCUGCAACUGUUUAUUAAAAACACAGCACUGUGCAAACACGAAAGUGGACGUAUACGGUGUGACGCCUGCCCGGUGCCGGAAGGUUAAUUGAUGGGGUCAGCGCAAGCGAAGCUCUUGAUCGAAGCCCCGGUAAACGGCGGCCGUAACUAUAACGGUCCUAAGGUAGCGAAAUUCCUUGUCGGGUAAGUUCCGACCUGCACGAAUGGCGUAAUGAUGGCCAGGCUGUCUCCACCCGAGACUCAGUGAAAUUGAACUCGCUGUGAAGAUGCAGUGUACCCGCGGCAAGACGGAAAGACCCCGUGAACCUUUACUAUAGCUUGACACUGAACAUUGAGCCUUGAUGUGUAGGAUAGGUGGGAGGCUUGGAAGUGUGGACGCCAGUCUGCAUGGAGCCGACCUUGAAAUACCACCCUUUAAUGUUUGAUGUUCUAACGUGGACCCGUAAUCCGGGUUGCGGACAGUGUCUGGUGGGUAGUUUGACUGGGGCGGUCUCCUCCUAAAGAGUAACGGAGGAGCACGAAGGUUGGCUAAUCCUGGUCGGACAUCAGGAGGUUAGUGCAAUGGCAUAAGCCAGCUUGACUGCGAGCGUGACGGCGCGAGCAGGUGCGAAAGCAGGUCAUAGUGAUCCGGUGGUUCUGAAUGGAAGGGCCAUCGCUCAACGGAUAAAAGGUACUCCGGGGAUAACAGGCUGAUACCGCCCAAGAGUUCAUAUCGACGGCGGUGUUUGGCACCUCGAUGUCGGCUCAUCACAUCCUGGGGCUGAAGUAGGUCCCAAGGGUAUGGCUGUUCGCCAUUUAAAGUGGUACGCGAGCUGGGUUUAGAACGUCGUGAGACAGUUCGGUCCCUAUCUGCCGUGGGCGCUGGAGAACUGAGGGGGGCUGCUCCUAGUACGAGAGGACCGGAGUGGACGCAUCACUGGUGUUCGGGUUGUCAUGCCAAUGGCACUGCCCGGUAGCUAAAUGCGGAAGAGAUAAGUGCUGAAAGCAUCUAAGCACGAAACUUGCCCCGAGAUGAGUUCUCCCUGACUCCUUGAGAGUCCUGAAGGAACGUUGAAGACGACGACGUUGAUAGGCCGGGUGUGUAAGCGCAGCGAUGCGUUGAGCUAACCGGUACUAAUGAACCGUGAGG
rnacentral:rRNA from 1 species